UACGAAGGGGGCUAGCGUUGCUCGGAAUCACUGGGCGUACAGGGUGCGUAGGCGGGUCUUUAAGUCAGGGGUGAAAUCCUGGAGCUCAACUCCAGAACUGCCUUUGAUACUGAAGAUCUUGAGUUCGGGAGAGGUGAGUGGAACUGCGAGUGUAGAGGUGAAAUUCGUAGAUAUUCGCAAGAACACCAGUGGCGAAGGCGGCUCACUGGCCCGAUACUGACGCUGAUGCACGAAAGCGUGGGGAGCAAACAGG
rnacentral:rRNA from 1 species